rnacentral:rRNA from 1 species
UGCCAGACUCCUACGGGAGGCAGCAGUGGGGAAUAUUGCACAAUGGGGGAAACCCUGAUGCAGCGACGCCGCGUGAGUGAAGACGGUUUUCGGAUUGUAAACCUCUGUCCUCUGUGAAGAUGAUGACGGUAGCAGAGGAGGAAGCCCCGGCUAACUACGUGCCAGCAGCCGCGGUAAUACGUAGGGGGCAAGCGUUAUCAGGAUUUACUGGGUGUAAAGGGAGCGUAGACGGUGAUGCAAGUCAGAAGUGAAAGCCCGGGGCUCAACUCCGGGACUGCUUUUGAAACUGUGUGACUGGAGUGCAGGAGAGGUAAGCGGAAUUCCUGGUGUAGCGGUGAAAUGCGUAGAUAUCAGGAGGAACUCCAGUGGCGAAGGCGGCUUACUGGACUGUAACUGACGUUGAG